rnacentral:lncRNA from 10 species
UGGCUGUUCUUUGUCAAGGACUGAGAUAUUGUUACCACACAUCAAUACCAACUGAAAAGAAACUGAAUAUCUCGGUUGGACUGGAUUUCUGCAGUUGAUGAAUUAGAGUUAGGCCCAAAUCCCCAGUGUUAGGUGACAAAAACCUUAUGUUCAGCCUGUCCUGCUCUGAAGUGUGCAGAAUGUUCAGAGAGUUUGGGUUUGAUACAAAUGCCGUUCUAUUCUUUUGCAAACCCACAGACAGUCUUCUGAAGUUCACUGUUUCAUAGGCCUGGCAGAAAAGGGUCUUUCCCAUAUCUCCCAUUUCUCUUGCUUUUACCAUUAUACUUUUCUUAGCAUGGAUAAGUUAGUAUUUUAGAAUACAUUUUAUGUUUUGUUUUCUCAGUUAAUUGCAGGACAAGAGAACUGAUUCCUAAUUGUUCCUAAUUUUCCCAUAUCUGUAAGUAACUACUAUCCUAAGGGAAUGCUACUUUCCUCUUUCUUCUAUCCUCCUAAGGGGAAUGGGUAGUCUUUCCUUUGGAGAAGAACAAAAAGCUGGACAAACAGACAAAAAAGCAACAAAAAUACUGGACAACUAAAGAUUUCUCAAAUCUUGCUCCACAGGACACUGAUGUUCCUCUAAAUGUUAGUAGUCUACAGGAUAUCAGAAUUCUAAGAAAAACUUGGAAAUCAUGUUCAGGACUAUACAGGACUUUAAAAGCUUUAUCUUCCCAAACUGAAAACCAGACCUCUCAAGUCUAGCUGCUCUCCUCCAGGUGCUGCAUAAAUGGACCUGGUCUUUGGCUACCUUACUUUGGAUCACUUGGUUGAAACAGUUCCCUUAGUCAACUUGUCCACUGGACUUAAGCUGUGGGACACAGAAAUUUUCCCUGGAAGAACAGAACAAUGAAGAUGAAUAGUUGAAAAAUGAGAGUGAUCCUGGCUGUUGGUAGGAGUAUGAGACACCCCUCCACAUUAGCAAACCCUAGAUUCUAAAUCCAUCAGCCUAAGUUGUUGGCUAUACAAGCAUGAUGACAGUACCUGCUCGGCUUCUGGUGAGCUUUUACUCAUGGCAGAGAGCAAAGUGGAAGCAGUAAGUCACAAAGUGAAAGCAGGAGCAAGGAAGGGGGAAGUGCCACACUUUUAAACAACCAGAUCACUUGAGAACUCAUUUACUGUCAUGAGGACAACACCAACUCAUGAGAGAUCCUCCCCUACAAUCCAAACACCUUUCACCAGCCUCAUCUCCAACAUUGGGCACUUCUGCAAGUCUCAGAGUCUAAAGGCUGAAAAACCUGGAGUCUGAUGUCCAAGGGCAGGAGGAGAGGAAGCAAGCAUCUGACAUGGAAAGAAAGUGGGAGCCAGAAGACUCAGCAAGCAAGACUACCCCCAUGACUUCUUCCACCUAGGUCUUCCUCUUCCAGUCCACUGACCCAAAUGUAAAUUUCCUUUGGCAACAUCCUCACAGACACACCCCAAAACAAUACUUUGCCAGCCAUCUAGGAAUCCUUUAAUCCAGUCAGGAUGACAACUAAUGUUAACCAUCACAGCAUUUUCUAAAGAGAAUCCUGCAUUCUAAAGGAUCUAGUCUGGAUGCCAGGAGCUGUGUAUAGGAUGAGAGCCUGGUGGACCUGAUUGACCGCCUGUUGUUCAGUUCAGUUCAGAGACUGAAAAUCAGGAUUUGUGCUGGAGAGUCUUUGAACUGUGUGUGAAAGUAUCUGAAGGUCCAUGACAAUUUGAAAGGUUUGAGCACACAAUGAAAUGAGUUGAUAUUGACUGUUGGGAACCAGAGUUCUCAGUGGAUGAAGAGACACAGAAAAAUAAAAUGAAGGAAGGCAAAGAAGAUCUCUGAAGAGAUGGAUUGGAAUUGGAAGCAUUAGUAUGAACCAUGAUUCUAAAAUAGUUAUAUAUUGAUGUCUAUGCUUGUAUAUAUCCAGAAGUUUAUGUAUGUAUGUUUAAAUGUGUGUGUAAUAUAUAUGUAUACAUAUAUGUACACAUGUAUAUAUUUCCUAGCUUUGUCUACUGAAAGGGUCCACAAGCAAAAUCUUGUAGCGGAUCUUGGUCUCUAAGAUUGUUCCCUGUUAAAAAAAAAACAGGAUCCGUUGGAGAAAUUGCUGAUUCCAGUGCUGUAGCAGAAAAGGUAAUACAUGAUCCUAAAAUCAGUAGUCUCAUUCUGUUAGAUUACUGUGGGGUUCAGUAUGGUAGCCACUAGUCUCUUGUGCUAUUUAUUUAUUUAUUUUUAUUAUUAUGCUUUAAGUUCUAGGGUACAUGUGUACAGCAUGCAGGUUUGUUGCAUAUGUAUACAUCUGCCAUGUUGGUGUGCUGCACCCAUUAACUGGCAAUUUACAUUAGGUAAAUCUCCUAAUGCUAUCCCUGCUCCCUCCCCCAACCCCAUGUCAGGCCCCAGUAUGUGAUGAUCCUCAUCCUGUGUCCAAGUGUUUUCAUUGUUCAGUUCCCACCUGUGAGUGAGAACAUGCAGUGUUUGGUUUUCUAUCCUUGCGAUAGUUUGCUCAGAAUGAUGGUUUCUAAUUUCAUCCAUGUCCCUACAAAGGACAUGAACUCAUCCUUUUUUAUGGCUGCAUAGUAUUCCACGGUGUAUAUGUGCCACAUUUUC